GGCACGGGGAUUUGCGAUCUCCCCGCGAGGCGACAUGCCCAAGUAUCGCGUCCUGAUCACCAAGGACGCUGCAUG
rfam:Bradyrhizobium sp. LTSP849 NODE_18, whole genome shotgun sequence.